AUGGCUCCCAAGCCCAAGGACCCACCAGAGGAAAUUAGUCAAGUCCUAGAAAUAUUUGAGAAGAACAAGGAAAGGAUUUCCUUACUGUGUGACUUUAUCUGCCAAAAACCUACUUUGUCCAUCCUUCACCAGAAGUGCCCAAGACCAACUGAGAUUGUCCAUCUUCUGGGGAAAUGAAUGAGAGGAGUAUGGCCCUUUAAAUCAAUGACAUCAUGGGUCACAAUCUCAGUUAAUGAGGUCUCUCAGUAGUUUGGGAUACAGAAGGAUGGGAGAGAAGAGAAUCUGCAACUCAUCAACCCCACCCUGUCAAUACUUUUAAGUGGCCAGGGUGGUGAGGAAGCUGACUUUAUCUGAUAGAGCAAUUGGGAAUGAAACUGGGCAGGACUCCAAACCAGGACUCGGCUGAGAUUUAGGCGGCACUGAGAGCCAGGAUCUCCAGGUCCAUCUCAGGCACUUGGGGGCAGACUGAAUGCCAGGAGCCAUGUGGCUACCAUCUUUAAACCUAUGACCUGAUGGAAAGGUUUCUUGGACAGGGAGCUGGAUCUCCUAUAGAUCAAUCAAAUGUUUAUGGAACACCUGCUACAUGGGAAGGACUACAGAGGAUACCAAGAAGUGCUAACACCAAGGAGUAGCCUCUCAGGAGAUGUUCACUGAAUGAAUAAGGAGACAGCAUGAUGUCCUUCCAGGAAAUAAUAGAAACAGCUCAAGUUGACAUGCAAGGGACAAUGUUCCAAAAGUCUUAGUGCAGAUUAAAGUUUAGAAACUUUUAGCUAAAAACUCCCAAUACUUUUGGGACCCUCUCGAUAGCCUAUUAGGUUUUCAA
rnacentral:lncRNA from 1 species